GACGAACGCUGGCGGCGUGCUUAACACAUGCAAGUCGAACGGAAAGGCCCUGCUUUUGUGGGGUGUUCGAGUGGCGAACGGGUGAGUAUCACGUGUGUGACCUGCCCUUGAGUUUGGGAUAACUUCAGGAGACUGGGGCUAAUACCGGAUAGGAGCUCUUGCUGCAUGGUGGGGGUUGGAAAGUUUCGGGGGUUGGGGAUGGACACGUGGUCUAUCAGUUUGUUGGUGGGGUAGUGGCGUACCAAGGCUUUGAUGGGUUGCCGGCCAGCGAGGGUGACCGGCCACAUUGGGACAGAGGUACGGCCCGGACUGCUACGGGAGGCAGCAGUGGGGAAUAUUGCACGAUGGGCGGAAGCCGGAUGCAGCAACGCCGCGUGCGGGAAGACGGCCUUCGGGUUGUAAACCGCUUUCGCCUGGGACGAAGCGUGAGUGACGGUAAUGGGUAAAGAAGCACCGGCUAACUACGUG
rnacentral:rRNA from 1 species